rnacentral:rRNA from 1 species
UACAGAGGUGGCAAGCGUUGUUCGGAAUUACUGGGCGUAAAGGGCGCGUAGGCGGUUCGUUAAGUCCUGUGUGAAAUCCCCCGGCUCAACUGGGGAACUGCACAGGAAACUAGCGGGCUUGAGUUCGGGAGAGGGAAGCGGAAUUCCGGGUGUAGCGGUGAAAUGCGUAGAUAUCAGGAGGAACACCGGUGGUGUAGACGGCUUUCUGGACCGUAACUGACGCUGAAACACGAAAGCGUGGGUAGCAAACAGG